UAAAUAAAUAAAUAAAUAAUUGUCCAGGGC
rnacentral:piRNA from 1 species